UACAAUCUUCAGGGCAGGGUGUAAUUCCCGACCGGCGGUAUAGUCCGCGAACGCUAUGGCGUACGAUUUGGUGUAAUUCCAAAACCGACAGUAUAGUCUGGAUGAAAGAAGAUGUAU
rfam:Megasphaera genomosp. type_1 str. 28L contig00036, whole genome shotgun sequence.